rnacentral:rRNA from 1 species
UACGUAGGGUGCGAGCGUUGUCCGGAAUUAUUGGGCGUAAAGAGCUUGUAGGCGGUUUGUCGCGUCUGCCGUGAAAAUCCGAGGCUCAACCUCGGACUUGCGGUGGGUACGGGCAGACUAGAGUGUGGUAGGGGAGACUGGAAUUCCUGGUGUAGCGGUGAAAUGCGCAGAUAUCAGGAGGAACACCGAUGGCGAAGGCGGCUUUCUGGGCCUUACCUGACGCUGAGACGCGAAAGCGUGGGGAGCGAACCGG